GAUGAACGCUGGCGGCGUGCUUAACACAUGCAAGUCGAACGGAAAGGCCCAAGCUUGCUUGGGUACUCGAGUGGCGAACGGGUGAGUAACACGUGGGUGAUCUGCCCUGCACUUCGGGAUAAGCCUGGGAAACUGGGUCUAAUACCGGAUAGGACCACAUUUUGGAUGGUGUGGUGGAAAGUUUUUCGGUGUGGGAUGAGCUCGCGGCCUAUCAGCUUGUUGGUGGGGUAAUGGCCUACCAAGGCGUCGACGGGUAGCCGGCCUGAGAGGGUGUACGGCCACAUUGGGACUGAGAUACGGCCCAGACUCCUACGGGAGGCAGCAGUGGGGAAUAUUGCACAAUGGGCGCAAGCCUGAUGCAGCGACGCCGCGUGGGGGAUGACGGCCUUCGGGUUAUAAACUCCUUUCGCUAGGGACGAAGCGUUUUUGUGACGGUACCUGGAGAAGAAGCACCGGCUAACUACGUG
rnacentral:rRNA from 1 species